CGGGGUGUAGCUCAGCUUGGUCAGAGCGCCUGCUUUGGGAGCAGGAAGCCGUAGGUUCGAAUCCUAUCACCCCGACCA
rnacentral:tRNA from 5 species